rnacentral:misc_RNA from 1 species
GUGAAUCAUCGAAUCUUUGAACGCACAUUGCGCCCCUUGGUAUUCCGAGGGGCAUGCCUGUUCGAGCGUCAUUAUAACCACUCAAGCCUCAGCUUGGUAUUAGGGUUCGCGGUCUCGCGGCUCUUAAAAUCAGUGGCGGUGCCGUCUGGCUCUAAGCGUAGUAAUAUUUCUCGCUAUAAAGUCCGGGCGGUUUCUUGCCAGAACCCCCCAUCUUACAAGGUUGACCUCGGAUCAGGUAGGGAUACCCGCUGAACUUAAGCAUAUCAAUAAGCGGAGGA